GGGCCUGACUGGAUUUGACAGCGGGACGAGAUGGUAUGUAAGCAUGCGGUGAGCCUGCAGGUGGUCACCUUAAUCACGGCCUGUGACAAUUUAUCUGGCGAAAAUUCUUACGCUCUCGCUGCCUAAUCGAAGCACAGUAGAUUGGCUUUAUUCCAGCGCCAGGCGCAGGAACGAGACAUCACCCAAGAGCCGUUUUCCCCGAGGCUUCUUGAUCAGUGUGGUGCAGCAUAUCGGAGAUAGUCGGCGGUAGCCUCGUGCCGCAGAUGAAAUUUAAGAGGAUACGGCAUUGUGCAAGGCUGUUCCCGCCCCACACUCUGCCCGACAAUCCAAUAGGGAAAUAAGCAUGUAGAAAGCAUAUGGUUUCCCCGUUUGGACGAGGGUUCGAUCCCCUCCAGGUCCAC
rnacentral:tmRNA from 1 species